UAAAAGUAAAAACAUAGUUCGGUUGGUAGUCCGGACAUAAUAGUUAACUAUUAUCAGUAACCUGCCUCCUUGGUUGUCCAUCUUUUAUAAUUA
rnacentral:ncRNA from 1 species